GCGGGCCGCGCCAGAAAUCUCUCCUAUCUUUCCCUUCAUCGCACCUGUCGAAAACUCGAAGUCCUGGCAAUGGCAGAUGACCAUGGCGUCUGAUGGCAUGGCGCCGAAGAAGCAGCGCUGAGGAUGAAGCUGGCCUAAGAGAUCCUCCACGGAUCCAAGCCCAUGCGCAUCGAGCUCACCUGCCGCCGCCACCAUGGAUUCUUCUGCGCCUCACCUCCCUUGCCCUUCAUCUCACGCACGCGAUUCCAGUGUCUCGGUGUAAGGAGAGAAGCGGCCAAAACCACCAUCCACAUCCCAGAUCUGAUGGACGCGGUGGCCGGAAAACCCAUCACCGAUGACUCACCUGACCAUGGUGGGCUCGAAUCUAGGUUCUCUGGGACCGGAUCUGGUGUUUGGCGGCGGCGACCAGAACCACCACGAGGACCACGGCGGACGCACCACCAACUCCGGCAUCAACGGCCCGAGCCGCAUGAAUCUCCGGCCACUGUGAGACAUGGAACUCCAUUUAGCCUCACUGCCAGAUGAUCAAUAGAGAAGGAGGGGUAGGAGGGCAACAACAUAAGUUGGACCACAUGCCUGGUGGCAUGGAAGUAUAAAAGAAAAAUAUCAAAUUCAUAUACUCUGCUCCGUCGCGGCUAUCUCAACUAUGGCGUGAGUGGACUGUUGGUGUUCAAAAGCGGCUUCGACUACUCCUUGACUUCGGUAUGUGCAGCGGUCAGGCGUCUAGAGCCGGCGUAGGAUGGGGCGAAAUACCGGGUUGGCCUUGAGCUCUCAGUGGAUGUCCGCAGCAAGGUGGAUCCACCUAUAUAUGCAUGAUGUUGCCAUUACUUAAAACCAGAACAUCAUUACUAUGAAUUGUUGUAGGUAUAGGUCACCCGGACAUCUGCAAUUUAGAUGAGAUGACAAUCUUUUAAAAAAGAUUUUUAUCUCAACGCGCAUGAACUGGACCAUUGGUAAUUUGUUGAUUUGCUUUCGGGGAAGUUAACUCUGGAUUUUUUUCUCCUGUUGCACCAGGGCGACCCAACUAGGUGUCAUUUUCAGGCCAUCUCUCUAGCUGCAUAUUCUGAUGUCUGGUGUCAUGGAAGAUGAUUCGUCUUGGGAGGCUCAUUCAUUUGAGCGCAUUAGAGUUCCUCCAUUCAACUUUCAAGUUGUUUCAGAGGCUGUCAAUGAAGGAAACUAACUCCCAUUUUCAUUGGACAAUGUUGAUAUCCUGGAGAAAAUUUUCACCUUCUUGCCAAUAACAAGCAUGAUUCAACAGCAGUAUGUGAUGACCCACAAGUAUAGGGGGUGUAUCGUAGUAUCUUCGAUAAGUAAGAAUGUCGAUCCCAACGAGGAGCAGAAGGUAUUGACAAGCAGUUUCGAUGAAGGAUUCACUGUAAAUGCUCACAGACAAGUAUUCAGGGGGUUUUGAUGUAACAGUUGAAUAAAGUACGAGUAAGUAAAGUGCGAGAGUAAUAAUUGCAGCGAGUGGUCCAAUCCUUUUUAGCACAAAGGACAAGCCGGUUUGUUUACUUAUAAUGACCAAACGUUCUCGAGGACA